UACGGAGGGGGCGAGCGUUAUUCGGAAUUAUUGGGCGUAAAGGGCGCGUAGGCGGCCCGGUAAGUCAAAGGUGAAAUCCCUCGGCCUACAGAGGAACUGCCUUUGAAACUGUCGGGCUUGAGGCCGGGAGGGGGUAGCGGAAUUCCCAGUGUAGCGGUGAAAUGCGUAGAUAUCAGGAGGAACACCGGUGGCGAAGGCGGCUUUCUGGACAGAUACCGACGCUGAGGCACGAAAGCUAGGGGAGCAAACAGG
rnacentral:rRNA from 1 species